GUCUGGGCUCUUCUGCAUCCCCGGAUCUGCUUAGUCAGCAAUUCCUGGAGCGCAGUGGAUCUGAGCCUCAUCCCCCAUGGGUCCCGGCCAUGCAUCCUGCAUCCCAGCUGCCCCACAGCCUCGGGCUGCCUCCAUCCCACCUUCCCGGGCUCUGGAACAGGAGAUGAAACAAAAGGAGGCAAACCAGCCUGUGAGUUUGGAGUUUAAGUAAACACAGCGGUUAACCCGAGGCUGGUUUCCAUCGACUGGGAGGCAGAAGGGGUUCCUACAGCUGGAGGCAAUUAAAUCCAACCAAAAAAAGGAUUCUCACACUCAGACUACCAGACAAGCUCCAGAGACCUGGGCAGGCUUUGUUGAAGUGGACAAGCACUCGCUUGGGCCCUGGACGAACAGGAGCAGCUCUGGGGACGAGAGGGGGUGUGGGGUUUGUUUCUGGUUGUCACUCUAGGUACGACAAUGACUGCAGUUCUCAGAGAAGAGAAUCAAUCACUCUUUGUAAGACCAAGUGAACCAUGGAAAGCUGGCCAAGCUUAAAGACAAGAUGAAGACAUGAAAAAGCCCCGAUCUGUGGCAUGUGCCAAUUUCUAUGGUAUAGACACCUUGUCUUGGCUGAUUUUAAGCCACUGAAUGAAGUCACUAGUCUACUGAUUGGGACUUCAGGCAGAAGAAUGAAUGGCCACAGUUGGUGCCCCAGGUACCAGCCUGCUCCCGGUGAGGGCAGACUAUGGGGACCGCAGGAAAGGCGCGUCCAGGACGGGGUGGUUGGUCCCAAGCCUGUGUAGGUGGUGUGGCUAGAGCCCCCUACUCGCCCACCACCCGUCACUCAGCGACCUCCCACGGGUGGUGAAGUAAGCAUGGAGCCAGGUCAUCAGUUGGGCGCCUUCUGGCUCCAGUAUUGCGUGUCUGCGUCACCGUCGGAUCUCAGAGAAACACCUGCUCACGGCUUCCCCGGGCCGCCUGCUUUCUCUGUGACGGUGCCUGUGCGUUUCCAUGUGUGUCCUCCCAGCAUUCGUUGCCUCCCAGGACCCCAGGUUGCACAGUGAUUCUUCUAGAACGAAAGGCUUUCCACCUCCCGCGUGGGACCGAGCCGAGGCCUCUCCCUGACACAUCCUCCGUCUCACCAGACCCCAAAGCAGAUGUGCAGAGCACACAGCCGACGGCAGGUCCCCUGACCCGCCACCCUAGGGCCACAUCAGCAGGCAGCUGCUCUCACGGAGCCCUGUCCUUCCCCGUGUCCCAGAGGGUCAGUGGCUGUGGUCUCUUACGACAUUCCAGUGGUAAUAAGAAAAUCUACCGCAUGGAAAUUCAACAGGCUGACUCAGCAAAAGCAGCCAGUCCAGUUCAGUCCCUUUAAGCAGGAGGUGGCCGUGAAGUUUCUGAUUUUACAAAUGACGGCAGGUCCCAGGGCUUUAAAGAAGUGGGGGCUGGUUUGAUGGAAACCCCGCUGUGGGUCGGCCUGGAUCUUAUGAGCUGCUGGAGCCAAGCAUGAAACAUGUCCAGACGUGCUGCCGAGGGCUCUGUGGCCACCACCCCGAGCCCUCUGAGCUCGCAUGCACAUCCACCCGCACCCAAGGAACCCCGCAGCGGUUCUCUGCCCCGGAGCCCUGCGGCACCUCGGGUAGCAUGUGGUGGGAAAGUGGUUCUGCCUCAGCCCACUGGCGACAGCUGCCCUGGGCCGUACCCACUGACAGUUAAAAGGGGACAAACACAUCAUGGGUGACUUAUGUCACUUAGUGAACACUGUCGUGUGGAAAGAUGGGUCUGGCACGACCGAGAUCAGACACAGCCAUCUCCGUGUGAACAUACAACACCCGCGUCAGUGGGUCUCAGCCCCGUGGGGUCUCUCUGAACACAGCCAGGGCGCUGCUGUAGGACGGGCGGGGUCCCUUCAUCCAGGGUCCCCUCCAGGGCUUCCUCAGGACCGUGCUAACUGCGGGGGAGGGCGAGGGUCAUGAGACGGUCCCGCCUGCUCCCCGAGGCCACCGUGGGGAAAGGCCGGCCGGCCGCGUCUGCCGAAGCACAUGGUCUUCGGCUCUCACGCCUUCAGACGCCGCUGGCCCUGAGGCAGCCUCUCUGA
ensembl:lncRNA